AUACGGAGGAUGCAAGCGUUAUCCGGAUUUAUUGGGUUUAAAGGGUGCGUAGGCGGUUUGCUAAGCGGGAGGUGAAAUGCCGGCGCUCAACGUCGGAAGUGCCUCCCGAACUGGUGGACUGGAAUGACUCUGCCGUGGGAGGAAUGUGUAGUGUAGCGGUGAAAUGCUUAGAGAUUACACAGAACACCGAUUGCGAAGGCAUCUCACGAAGGGUUGAUUGACGCUGAGGCACGAAAGCGUGGGGAUCAAACAGGAUUAGAUGCCCUGGUAGUCCACGCAGUAAACGAUGAUGGCUAACCGCUGGUUUAUUCGGAUCAGUGGCCAAGCGAAAGCGAUAAGCCAUCCACCUGGGGAGUACGACCGCAAGGUUGAAACUCAAAUGAAUUGACGGGG
rnacentral:rRNA from 1 species